rnacentral:rRNA from 1 species
GACGAACGCUGGCGGCGUGCUUAAUACAUGCAAGUCAACUUGACUUUAGAUAGCAAUAUCGAAAAGUAGGGUGGCGCACGGGUGCGUAACGCGUAGGUAAUCUGCCCUGAGGUCUGACAUAACCCGUCGAAAGGCGGGCUAACAUCAGAUGAUAUAUAAUCACGACAUCGUGGAAAUAUCAAAUCUUCGGAGCCUUGGGAUGAGCCUGCGUCUGAUUAGGUAGUUGGCGGAGUAAUAGCCCACCAAGCCUACGAUCAGUAGCUGGUCUGAGAGGAUGAUCAGCCACACUGGAACUGAGACACGGUCCAGACUCCUACGGGAGGCAGCAGUAAGGAAUAUUGCUCAAUGGGGGAAACCCUGAAGCAGCAACGCCGCGUGAAGGAUGAAAUACUUUGUAUGUAAACUUCUGUAAGAUGGG